AGAGCGAACGCUGGCGGCAGGCCUAACACAUGCAAGUCGAACGGACUCUUCGGAGUUAGUGGCGGACGGGUGAGUAACACGUGGGAACGUGCCUUUUGGUUCGGAAUAGCUCCUGGAAACGGGUGGUAAUGCCGAAUGUGCCCUUCGGGGGAAAGACUUAUCGCCAUUAGAGCGGCCCGCGUCUGAUUAGCUAGUUGGUGAGGUAAAGGCUCACCAAGGCGACGAUCAGUAGCUGGUCUGAGAGGAUGACCAGCCACAUUGGGACUGAGACACGGCCCAAACUCCUACGGGAGGCAGCAGUGGGGAAUCUUGCGCAAUGGGCGAAAGCCUGACGCAGCCAUGCCGCGUGAAUGAUGAAGGUCUUAGGAUUGUAAAAUUCUUUCACCGGGACGAUAAUGACGGUACCGGAGAAGAAGCCCGGCUAACGUUCGUGCCAGCAGCCGC
rnacentral:rRNA from 1 species